rnacentral:rRNA from 1 species
UACGUAGGGUGCAAGCAUUAAUCGGAUUUAUUGGGCGUAAAGGGCGCGUAGGCUGUUCUUUAAGUCAGAUGUGAAAUCCCGAGGCUCAACCUCGGAACAGCAUUUGAAACUGAAGAUCUAGAGGGUAGAAGGAGAGAAUGGAAUUCCACAAGUAGCGGUGAAAUGCGUAGAUAUGUGGAAGAACACCGGUGGCGAAGGCGAUUCUCUAGUUUAUUCCUGACGCUGAGGCGCGAAAGUAAGGGGAUCAAACAGG